UCCUUCACCUAUUUUCUUCACAGAGUUUUGUGAUGGGGAAAAUAGUAAGCACGGAUGUUAGAUAUACCACAUUGAGCUUCUAUGUAAAAGAAAUAUCUCCUUCUCCUUCUCUUUCAGCCUUCACCCCUUUGAUGGAGCUUCUAAUUUUUAUGUCAAGCAACUUUCAAGACCCAGGCACAAAAAAUGAAAACAAACCAAACCUGGUGGGGACAGCAGUGUCUUCAUUCACUUUCACUCUCCCCACCCCCAGAAAAAUGUGUGGCUGUCAUCUGAAACUGAAUGGGAUUAAUAGUCAAACUCUCUAUCGUAUAUGAACAAAACAUUCAUGUAAGUGGAAAAAAAAUCUAAUAAACUGAUACAACCUGA